rnacentral:lncRNA from 1 species
AGAAUGGAUGCCAACUCAGGCAGCCCUUGUCCCUCCGGCCAUAACGAUCCCAAAACUUUAUUCUUUAACGUGUCUCUGAUUUUAUUUUUAUUUUUAGUUAAAAAGAGGAGCUGAAAGCUAACUUUGGAAUGAAACGUGUCUCUGAAUUCCUCUAAACGGUGCCGUUUCUCAAUUCAGAUUACACGUGUGUCCCGCUAAAUAAUACGUACCAUCAUCGUCCUUCCAUUAUUUGUUUUUUUUUCUAAUGAAAAGGGGUAGGAGAGGAAGGGACAAGCUCACCCCGCAUAGCAGCCUCUAUUGGGCCUCCAUCCUGCCAGAAGAAUAUUCGAUGCGGGCAGAAAUGGCCGUGUGUUGGGCAUCCCGACCAGUUUUACUCAUGCCUUCCCCACCCAUGGACCCGGCUCAACUACCCCUCUGGUCUCUGGCUCGAGUCCCAAGUGUGAGUACGUCACACCUGGUACCACCCCGGCUACUAGCGGUCCAAGAGCGAUCCUAUACUUCAUGUCCAAGCAGUGGCCGAAGCCACAUUUUAAUUAUCGCCGCAGCGACUUAAAUUUGGAACCAUGAGGUUAGAAUUUCCGCCCAGUACCACUAGGCUACCACCUUGGUGGCCCUUCCAUUAUUUGUUCCCGGGAUAUUAAUUUCAGGAAAACCACGAAACGAACUCCAUCGCUGUCCCACCAUCUUUUCCUUCGCAAAACCGCCUCCCCGAUCACUCACAAUCUACAAUGACAAAGCCUUCCACUUCCAUCUACGGUAGUGAGCAAACGCCCCGCCCUCUGUGUUUUUUCCUUUUUAUAUAACAAACAAACGAGAACUUAAAAUUUUACAAAAAAAAUAAUUUCCACAGAUUUUUCUUCACAUUUUGUUUUUUUUUAGACGGGCAUUUCACAGUACGCGAGUAUGAAGACGUCCAAUAAAAUCAGAUAACACUUUAUCACGGAGAGCCAUAUACAACUCUCUUCCAUGCAUCCACACAGUGCCGCGCCACAUAAGAGGCCGCUGAGAUACCAAUAAAAUCAGAAAACAAUAUAUCACGGAGAGCCAUAGGCAACUCUCCCCGUGCAUCCACAUAGUGCCGCGCCAUGUAAAAGGCCAUCCAAUCAGUGGCCCCAUUAGCCUUUCUAGAAACAUGUUUAGUUAGGAAGGCGUCCUCAUCUCUACCCAUAGCCCAAAUAUCUCAGAGUAGGGAUGAUCCCACCCUGACACCUUCGGACCCUCCUGGAUCCACCCUAUAAUAGUGGCUAAGUCGCCCUCCAUAAUAAUAGAGCGGGCCUACAAUACUCGCUGUGCAUAUCGAAGGCCCUUCCAUACAGCCAUCAGCUCGGCGCUGGGAACCGAGGUCUCUGCUAGCUGACAGCCACCGACCGCUACUACACGAGAGCACGGGUUCCUAAUAACAAACCCAGCACCCCCUC